UCUCCUUCCCUCUCUUCCUCUCCAAGUUUCUUCCCCAUAGGGUUUCCCGGAGCCCCAUGGUGGUCGACGGCGACGACGCGGGCUCCUGGUGUCGCCAUGCGUUGAGUAAUCAUGCUCUCGUCGCCGACGUGCUCCUCAGCUUCCGUGACCCGCGGAUCCUGCUGAUCCCAUGGCAGCACCGCCUCGAUCCGGAUCGGACCACCGCAGCGGCCGGGUCGCUUCCUUCCUCUGAGUCCUCGGAUACGAAGACGGCGGACUCGGAGAAGGACGACGAGAGGCCGUCGUCCUCGUUGCCGCCGCCGCUACCUGCGGAGGAGUUUCCGGACUGGGGAAGGCGGAUCAGGCGGUCGUGGACCGUCAAGGCCUCGCGGAUCCGGGAGGCGACGGCGGGGAAGAGCAGGAGGCGGCGGCGCCCGAGCCCGCUGUCAGCCCUGGAUGGCUGCAGCAGCGCGUCGACGAGCUGGACGAGCCGCGAUGGGGAGGAGGGGUCGAGUUCGCCGGAGAAGGCCGCGAAGAUGCCCAGAUCUUUCGACGACGCCGCCCCCGGCGGUGGUCUUCCGUCCAAGGGGGAAGUGAUGCAACGGCUGACACUGGUUUUAAGAAUCCAGGGGGCCAUCGAUGACAAAUGUUGUGAGUCUAAUCCAUUUAUUCUUCAUCUUUCGUCAUGGUGGUAGUGGUGGAGUUGGGGUGCCAUUGGGGUUCGGAGGGCAGACGAAAGCCGAGCUUCACGCCGUGGAGAAAUCUUUGCUGGAAGAGAAAGACGCAAGAUUCUAACAUCAAGCUUGGACGGGCCCAAGGCUCCAGUAGCAGAUGCAAAUGCUGCUAUGGCACUCGAGCCACCUCUUCCUGUAUCUCGUCAAUCUGUGAGCAACAAGUUCUUAUUACCAGAUCUCAACGAGCUACCGGAUUGUUUAGAUUAACAUGUCGUGAUGUGGUAAAGGCUGAUCGCUUAUUUCGUUGCUGCUGGCCAAGGCAUGAACGAUCAAACUGCACAGCAAUGUUUAGUAGAGACCAGAGAACAGUGUGCGGUGAACAGGUGAACCCCCCUCCCCAAGUCCAAAUGUCUUUUAGGUAAAAACCUCGAUAAACUUAGAUAUAUUAACUUACUUUAUGCGUGUGACAGUUUAUUCUUUCCCCAGUUGAAAUCUUUGUAUGUGAACUUGUCAACCCUCUGACAUUUAAAUGUCCGAUUGUGCUUUGAGAUGGGCUGAUGUACAGAUCUCAACGACUCAAUUAAAAAAAGAGGCUUAUAAUUGGGAUGUUA